AUGGUCAGCCACUGUCGUGGGGAAAUUGAGGAUAACUUUACUGCUGAUCUUUCUGUUGGCUUGGCUAGUGGACAGGUUUGUUCGUUAAUUUCUAUAACCAUAUAUGCUCUCUAUCAAUUCAUUCUGUUGGUACUAUGUAUGAAGUUGAUUUUUGCACUUUCUUCUUUAUAGAUAUAACAGGAGCUCCCUGGCCAAGCAUAAUCCCCAACACCACCCACUUUUCUAAGUUUUCUUUGCUUUCUCAAAUUUGCUUGCAGCUUCUGCUCAUUGAAGUGGAACUUGGUAAUGUGUGUUAUGCUGGUGAAGCUUUCAGAUCACCCUAA
rnacentral:lncRNA from 1 species